AAUUCCGAUGGGGACGCGCUGAGGUGCUGAGGUGAAGGGUGAAAAGCGUCCUUCGACGUCCGGGUCCGGCUUGCGGGGCCAGCGAACUGGAGAGGUGCCAUGGGCUGGAUCACAGAAGAUCUUAUUAGACGGAACGCUGAACACAAUGACUGUGUCAUUUUUUCCCUGGAGGAACUCUCGUUGCAUCAGCAAGAAAUAGAAAGACUAGAACACAUUGAUAAAUGGUGCCGGGAUUUAAAAAUUCUCUAUCUUCAAAAUAAUCUUAUUGGGAAAAUUGAAAAUGUUAGCAAACUCAAGAAACUUGAAUAUUUGAAUUUAGCUUUAAACAACAUUGAAAAAAUAGAAAACUUGGAAGGAUGUGAAGAGCUGGCAAAACUUGACUUGACUGUAAAUUUCAUUGGAGAGCUGAGCAGCAUUAAAACCUUGCAGCACAAUAUCCAUCUGAAGGAGCUCUUUCUCAUGGGGAACCCAUGUGCUUCCUUUGACCACUAUAGGGAGUUCGUUGUAGCAACUCUUCCACAAUUAAAGUUCGUCUUUAGAGAGCAAAGACCACCUACAGGCACCAGACAUAGAGGAAAACAACACAAAGAAAUUAGACAACAGUGAAGAUGACUUGGAAUUCUGGAAUAAGCCCUGUUUGUUUACUCCUGAAUCAAGACUGGAAACUCUUAGACACAUGGAAAAACAACGGAAAAAUCAGGAAAAAUUAAG
rnacentral:sRNA from 1 species